AUUCCAGUUCCAAGAGCGUAUAUUAAAGUUGGCGCGGUUAAAAACUCGUAAUUGGAUGUCAGUCUAGGAAGGUUAGUCGCCGAAAGGUUGUACGCUGAUUUUCCUCAGACUUUGUCAGAAACUCGUGUUGCAGUUAACUGUGUGGUACCAUGUUCUGACCUUUCACCUUGAGGGAAGUAAACUGUUUCAGGCAGGCUACCCAGCUCGAAUACGUUAGCAUGGAACAAUGAAAUCGAUCUCGGUUUGAUCUCGUUGGUUCUAGAGCUGAGGUGAUGAUCAAUAGGAAGAGGCGAAUGUGUUCGUACUUGAGAGUGGGGAGUGAACUCCGGUGAUUUUCCAAAGGACGAUCCGAGGCGAACACAUGUGUCAAGGAUGUUUUCAUCA
rnacentral:rRNA from 1 species